rnacentral:siRNA from 1 species
GGCAAAUGAUGUGUAGAAGGGUA